GGCCCCCCCGGGAGCCGGGUUUCGGCCCAAGCCCCCGGGUCGGCUGAAGGUAAGAGACGGGGGACCGCAUGCGCCGGGCAGCCACGAUUUUGGUGGGAGGACCUCGUGUCCGCAUCACAGAUCGUG
rnacentral:rRNA from 1 species